AACAUAUGUAACCUUCUGCCAGGUGGAGCCAGCAGCAACAAGGGCCGGGUUCAUCGAUACAACACAGAACCGGCUCAAGCCCCCACCCAGUAACAUGGGAAAAUUACAUACCACCCUGGGCGCCUUUGAGAGGCAAUACUUCCCCACUCGCAAACACAGACUGAAUGUAGAAAAGAAACUUUUAAUAAAAGGAGGGAAGUAA